rnacentral:sRNA from 1 species
GGACUUGGGGACAGGGCAGAGUCAGGGCAGGAGAGACAGGACUUGGGGACAGGGCAGAGUCGGGGCAGGAGAGGCAGGACUUGGGGACAGGGCAGAGUCGGGGCAGGAGAGGCAGGACUUGGGGACAGGGCAGAGUCAGGGCAGGAGAGACAGGACUUGGGGACAGGGCAGAAUUGGGGCAGGAGAGGCAGGACUUGGGGGUGGAUGAGUUGUGGGGUCUGAAGCGGGGAGAGUCAAAGGCUGAGGCAACUUGUGGCCCCUGGGACCCCCAUUUUGUGGGGAGGCCUUUCCAGGGGUCCCCACCUCAGCUCUGGCCACCCCCACUACCAGGUUGGCCCCAGACUCCCGGCUGAACCCUCAUCGCAGCCUCCUGGGCACCGGCAACUAUGAUGUCAAUGUGAUCAUGGCCGCUCUGCAGGGGCUGGGCCUGGCCGCCGUGUGGUGGGACAGGAGGAGGCCCCUGUCCCAGCUGGCCCUGCCCCAGGUACUGGGGCUGAUCCUGAACCUGCCCUCGCCCAUGUCGCUGGGGCUGCUGUCACUGCCGCUGCACCGGCGGCACUGGGUGGCCCUGCGCCAGGUGGAC